CCCUUUGAGUGUAUUUUAGCCACGGCCUGUUAAUUUGCCACGUUGGCAAAAAAGUAUGCUUCCUAACAUCAUGCUCAUACUUGCUCUGCUGCUGCAAUGUUUCUUCUUUUGUUUCUUUUUUUUUGCCUGGGGCUGCGAAACUUUAUCAAUAAACUGCCACAUUGUUCAGUUCACAUCUCUGCACGCUUUAGUUCACUGCGGCGUGUUCAGUAAACCGGAAACAACUGGUUUUAUUCUAUUCGCACGUAAAACGGACGAAUAAUAUACGGUAUAGUGUACACUAUGUAGGGUUUUAUUUACCCUUGUACAUGUAUUUAGUACUUUUACUAGUCUUUCAGAUCCAGCCAAAAUAGCACUGUGAUCGCGUGUAUGGCGGUAAUAAUGCAUUAUGGACAUGCGGAGACAUAUGGUUUAUGCGGAAUGACGUAAAAACUCACGAACAAAACAUCACUGCUACAGUGUCAAUUGUAUUGGGAUCGAUCGGGGAGUAAAAUCCCUGCCACUACGCUACCGGAGUAGGGCUCUAGGCCUAAGCCAAAAAAACGGUUGUCACACACAGACGAAUAAUUAUAAUAUUUUACUCAUCCUUAUAUAAUUUAGAUCGUCUUGGGCGAUCGGACGAGUGUUAAUAUGGGAGAUUGAUACCAAAAUGUCAGGGAUCACCACUGUUUUGGAAUAAAGCCAUCAAUUUUGAGUCUGGGAAAUGAAAAAUAAGUAGUUUACACAUUUGUAUAAUAAGCACACUACACUAAAUGUCAAAUCAGAUAUGAUUACGCUACAAUAUAUUGAAAAAUAAAAUCAAAAUCUUGUGCAUGGUGUAUCUCAAAACACUUUCGAGUGAUCUUGUUUGUUACACAAUCCAAUUUCUAAAAGCAAAUUUAUAGAUUUUUGUAGUAAAACAUCUUAAAAAUCAAUUCAAACUGAUUUUUGUGUCAAUGUGUGACUUUUUUGUUCAGUGGUGUUUGUUGUAAUUGAUAUAUUCAAUACUGUAUGUAAAUGUUUACAAUAUUUCUGUUUCCUCCUGCUUUAAAUUAAUUGUUAUUAUAAUUGAUGGCAUCUUGGAAUAAAAAGCUGUAAUAAGGCUCUGUAAAUAAACUAUUAAAUUGA